AGCUGGGGAUACCUGCUGUUAAUCACAGAAAAAGCUCUCUCUUGAAGCUGUCUUCGUAGUUGAAUGCACCACAGAGAGAUUUAUCUUCUUCAGGAAACAGAGCCAUAGACUGGCCAUGUGUUCAAGAAACAGUGAUAUUUACAAUGUUCAGGUGCUUCUUGAAUUACUGCAACUUUGAAGGUAGCCAUUGAAAACUGUCACUUAUCUGCUGAGAGAUCUUGAUGCAGACGUCCUUUUGGAUUUCUUUUUAAUAAUGUGUGACCCUUCACCUUUGAUCCCUUGACCUGCAUUACCUUGGUAACCAUUUCAUUUUUAAUUUAAUUUCAUUUUUUAAUUUUUGUGUGCAAGCUGUAACAUUUCAUCAUCUUAAAUUGUAACAUUCUUUGACUUCCCCAAAUAUAUAAAUGUUCCUUUUAUCUAUAAAGUUAUAUAAUGCCAGCUUCAUUUUUGUAUUAAAAUUCAUUUGUUGUAAAAAUAAAGUGUAAAAAUUCUCAUUGUUUUCAUUUUCUUUAAGUUUAACUGUGUAUGUUUUUUGUAUAGUGCAUUACUUUUUCUACCCAUGUUCUUAGAAGACUUAAAACUAACUUAUUAUUUUGUUUUUGUACUUCUUAAAUGUUAACUUGCAUUUCCUCAGUAAUUAUUAGUAUCAGUAGGAAUUUCUCUACAUUUCGUCUGCUGUUUUCUUUCUAUUCUACUCACAUUUUAAAAAUUUAAAAUGCCAUUGUGAGAACAUUUUAAAAAUAUAUUAUUUUAAGGAACAUAAAAUAAUAAAAAGCAUAUACAAUUUUUAAUAUUUCA